AUACGUAGGGGGCGAGCGUUGUCCGGAAUGAUUGGGCGUAAAGGGCGCGUAGGCGGCCCGGUAAGUCUGGAGUGAAAGUCCUGUUUUUGAGAUGGGAAUUGCUUUGGAUACUGUCGGGCUUGAGUGCAGGAGAGGUAAGUGGAAUUCCCAGUGUAGCGGUGAAAUGCGUAGAGAUUGGGAGGCACACCAGUGGCGAAGGCGACUUACUGGACUGUAACUGACGCUGAGGCGCGAAAGUGUGGGGAGCAAACAGGAUUAGAUACCCUGGUAGUCCACACUGUAAACGAUGAAUGCUAGGUGUAGGGGGUAUCGACCCCUUCUGUGCCGCAGUCAACACAAUAAGCAUUCCGCCUGGGGAGUACGGCCGCAAGGUUGAAACUCAAAUGAAUUGACGGGG
rnacentral:rRNA from 1 species